GACGAACGCUGGCGGCGUGCUUAACACAUGCAAGUCGAACGGAAAGGCCCUGCUUGCUGGGUACUCGAGUGUCUAACGGGUGAGUAACACGUGGGUGAUCUGCCCUGCACGUCGGGAUAAGCCUGGAAAACUGUGUCUAAUACCGGAUAGUAGCCAUUUUUAGUGUGAUUUUUGGAAAGUUUGUUCGGUGUAGGAUGAGCUCGCGGUCUAUCAGCUUGUUGGUGGGGUAAUGGCCUACCAAUGCGGCGACGGGUAGCCGGCCUGAGAGGGUGGACGGCCACAUUGGGACUGAGAUACGGCCCAGACUCAAACGGGAGGCAGCAGAGGAGAAGAUUGCACAAUGGGAGCAAGCAUGAUGCAGCGCCGCCGCGUGGGGGAUGACGGCCUUCGGGUUGUAACCUCCUUUCGCUAGGGACGAAGCUUUUUGUGACGGUACCUAGAGAAGAAGCACCGGCUAACUACGUG
rnacentral:rRNA from 1 species